rnacentral:rRNA from 1 species
UACGUAGGCAGCGAGCGUUGUUCGGAGUUACUGGGCGUAAAGGGUGUGUAGGCGGUUGCUUAAGUUUGGUGUGAAAUCUCCCGGCUCAACUGGGAGGGUGCGCCGAAUACUGAGUGACUAGAGUGCGGGAGAGGAGAGUGGAAUUCCUGGUGUAGCGGUGAAAUGCGUAGAUAUCAGGAGGAACACCUGUGGUGUAGACAGCUUACUGGACCACUUCUGACGCUGAGACACGAAAGCGUGGGUAGCAAACAGG